GACAUAGGUGGCGAACGUUAUCCGGAUUUAUUGGGCGUAAAGGAUGCGUAGAUGGUAGAAUAAGUUAUUGGUUGAAAUCGAGCUCAACUUGAUGGAGGCUAGUAAUACUGUUCUACUGGAGGGCAGAAGAGGUUAGCGGAACUUACACAAGUAGGGGUGAAAAUCCAAUGAUCUGUGAGGGACCACCAAAAAAGGCGAAGGCAGCUAACGUAUUCUGUUCCUGACAUUGAGGCAUGG
rnacentral:rRNA from 1 species